rnacentral:rRNA from 1 species
AGAGUUUGAUCCUGGCUCAGAUUGAACGCUGGCGGCAUGCCUUACACAUGCAAGUCGAACGGUAACGGGCCUUCGGGCGCCGACGAGUGGCGAACGGGUGAGUAAUGCAUCGGAACGUACCUUCAGUGGGGGAUAACGUAGCGAAAGUUACGCUAAUACCGUAUAUUCUGUGAGCAGGAAAGCAGGGGGAUCGCAAGACCUUGCGCUGAUUGAGCGGCCGAUGUCAGAUUAGCUAGUUGGUGAGGUAAAGGCUCACCAAGGCGACGAUCUGUAGCGGGUCUGAGAGGAUGAUCCGCCACACUGGAACUGAGACACGGUCCAGACUCCUACGGGAGGCAGCAGUGGGGAAUUUUGGACAAUGGGGGCAACCCUGAUCCAGCCAUGCCGCGUGAGUGAAGAAGGCCUUCGGGUUGUAAAGCUCUUUCGGCCGGGAAGAAAUCGUAUGGGCUAAUACCCUGUGCGGAUGACGGUACCGGCAUAAGAAGCACCGGCUAACUACGUG